rnacentral:lncRNA from 1 species
UACAGCCGAAGAGCUCGGGAGUUCUAAUUACCUGUGCAGAUCCCAGGAGGCGGAAGCAAAACGUGGUAAUUAGUGGGCUGUAAUCUGAGGUUUUAGCAAGGGAGGCAGGAUUUGCUCUAAGUGCCUUGGUGUUUUCGUGGCUAUUUACUGAGCGGAGCCCCAGAGUUUAAAGGAAUUUGGUGGAAUUCUCCAGUGACUACGGGGCUGGCGAUUUUAAAUAGCUAUAAAUGAGGCAUUUUUAUUCCACUCCUGCCAAAUCCAG